UUAGUUUUGGACGCACUUAGCAAAAGGGUAACAAAUUGUGCUGCUAGUUGCUUUUUAAAUCUCUUAUUGAGAAAACAUAAUGAAUCUUUAUUAAUUUAUUUAUAUAGGCAAAAUAGUGCAUUAAAUAUGAAACAAUUAAAACAAACACAAGAUAUGACAAGUUUGGUCAGACUUCAAAGUGACAGAAUACAUACACAAAUGUUGCACAAACCAAGGCAGCAUUUUCCGAAAAACAAACCCAAAUGCAAAAAAGGUUAUCGACAAACAAAGAAAACAAAACGAGCAACCAAUUGCAACUAUUGA